rnacentral:rRNA from 1 species
CCUACGGGAGGCAGCAGUGAGGAAUAUUGGACAAUGGGCGCAAGCCUGAUCCAGCCAUGCCGCGUGCAGGAAGACGGUCCUAUGGAUUGUAAACUGCUUUUAUACAGGAAGAAACACCUCUACGUGUAGAGACUUGACGGUACUGUAUGAAUAAGCAUCGGCUAACUCCGUGCCAGCAGCCGCGGUAAUACGGAGGAUGCAAGCGUUAUCCGGAAUCAUUGGGUUUAAAGGGUCCGUAGGCGGUUUAAUAAGUCAGUGGUGAAAGCCCAUCGCUCAACGAUGGAACGGCCAUUGAUACUGUUAAACUUGAAUUAUUAGGAAGUAACUAGAAUAUGUAGUGUAGCGGUGAAAUGCUUAGAGAUUACAUGGAAUACCAAUUGCGAAGGCAGGUUACUACUAAUAUAUUGACGCUGAUGGACGAAAGCGUGGGGAGCGAACAGGAUUAGAUACCCUGGUAGUCCACGCCGUAAACGAUGGAUACUAGCUGUUCGGAGCAAUCCGAGUGGCUAAGCGAAAGUGAUAAGUAUCCCACCUGGGGAGUACGUUCGCAAGAAUGAAACUCAAAGGAAUUGACGG